rnacentral:lncRNA from 1 species
GAGCAAGGCAGUUGCUCGAUUGAUUUGAUUGGGGGGUUUUGGUACAUAGAUGAAAAUAGCUAGACUUAGGGUUUUUAUUCAGGUAAUCAGGAUAUAAUUCUAUAGAUGUUUAACAAGUUGUAUACAUGAUACUAUAGAGCUCAGCACUUAUAAACAAACCGAUAGGCUCUCGCUUUCUAGGUUUGUCUAUUGACCAGAUAUAAGUGUCGAUCGAUGAUUCUAUAGGAAUAUCGAUCGAUACACUUGUUGAACCGUCAACCAAUUAUUCGAUUAGAAUAUCGAUCGAC